rnacentral:lncRNA from 1 species
CACAAUAUAACAGUACAUUAAAUAUAAAUUUAAUAACAUUAAAAUGAAAAAAAAAAAAAAAAACCCUAUCUAUAUCGCAUCUCAAAAUCCAAUGAGGGCUGAAUCGAACAUGGACAUUCUCAGUCUCAUCAGUUCUCCAUAGCCAAAUUACAUCACACUAUAAAUCCACUCUUCUAUUUAUCAUCUUUCAUUUCGCAGACUACGAACCUUUGAGUGGGUGAACUUCAAAGUCUGAAAACACCGAAGCCAGAUCCAAAUACAAUGAGAUAUUAAAAACCCACCUUUGCGGGACUGGGUGUGUGCUUGUGUGUGCUCGAGAGAAGAAGACGAAAGCAAGAUGGGGAGGGAAGCUCGAAAAUGCCUGGACGGAUGCCAGUAUGCGAAGUGGUCUGUGAGAGUGGAGAGAGGAAAAGCCAACGGGACUGCCUAUGUGCAAAAUGGUCUACUAGAAUGGGGAGAAGAAGAACAAAUUGAGAGUGUCUGUGCUGUUUGUUGUGCGAGAACAAAUAGCAGAAUGAGUGUGUUAUGAGAGAGAAGGGGAAAGGCAAAAGAAGAAAUAUGAGAUAGUAAAGAGAUGAGAGAGAAAAUAUCUCUGUUCA